GCUCCAUGGAGGCCCCUGAGGUCAGCGGAGGGUCAAGCUCCGCCUUGACCUGGGAGACGCCUCAGCUCUCCGGUUGGGCUCCUUGCGGCCUGAGUUGCUCAGAUCUGGCGUCUGAGCGCUGGCGGCCUAAGGACUCACACAGCCCUCCCGCCAUGGCUGUGGGCCACCCGUGAGCCCUGCAACCGCGGGUCCCACUUCACAGGUGAGGACAUGGGGGCCUGGAGAGGGAGCUGCCUUGCUGGGGCCCCCGCUGUAGGUCCCGAGCCAGGUUCGGAGAGCCCGCGUGCAGUUUGUUGUUUUUCGUUAGAAAGGUGAGCAGCGUCCUGCCCAGCCUGUCCUGCCCACGCGUUCCUUCCUCCCCGGUUCUUCCCACGUCUGCUCUGAGGUCAGGGGCAUGGCCGAUGGGGCUGGAAGGAUGACACUGGGGGUGAGAGGAGGGCGUAGGUGGGACACCCCAGAUGAGUGGGCAGCAGCCUCUCCAGACCCCCUUGAGUGCCCCCGCUCUGGGCACAAAGCCAGUUCCUGCAGCGUCCCCGAGUCUCCCAGCCUGCAAGGCCCUGGCCAGGAGGGGUGCCCCCAGGCCGCCCUGCAGGACAGAGUCCCUCUGGGGAUGGGUCUGUCCGGAGAGCAGCACCAGGACAGGGACGCUGCCCAGCUACCUCCAGGCCCAGGGAGCGACCCCAGGCCCCCCUUCUUCUCUGUCAGCUUUUCCUGAGGACAAGAAAAGGAGCGGGAAGUGUGGAUGUAAAAAUAGAAGCUCCGGCCAGUCAGGACAGGCCUGGAGGUAGCUGGCCUCACAUCUUCCUUCUUCUGCAGGCGGGGCUCCGGCACGCCUGGUGUGGGCAGGGUGUCCUCUGGGCCCCCCUCCCCUUGAGCUGUGCAGGCACCCCCAGGGCCCCCAUACCGGGAGGCACACAGAAGGGGCCACGAGCCUUCCGGGCAGGCACUACGCUGGGGCUGCUGCGUGUUUUCCGUGCACUGGAGCCUCCAGCUGCUGGAAGGAGCUUCCUCCCAGGGCUCACUGAGGCUGGGGGAGCCACACUCAUGGCAUCCGGCUGGUGUGCCCCCAUCCAGCUCGAGAGGUGGUGUGUGUGUGUGUGUGUGUACUCAGUCGUGUCGGACUCUUUGGGACCCUAUGGACUGCGUCCCCCACCAGGGAAUUCUCCAGGCAAGAACACUGGAGUGGGUUGCCAUUUCCUACUCCAGGGAAUCUUUCCAACCCAGGGAUCGAACCCGGGUCUCUUGCAUCUCCUGCACUGGCAGGCAGAUGAAUUCUUUUCCCCUGCGCCAUCUGGGAAGCCCCCAUCCAGUUAGAGAGGUGGAGCCUCCCUUACCUCUGCCCAAAUCCCCACUCAGAGGGAUGACCCCUCUGGAGCUGCCUCUGACCUCUAAUCUUUCCCAGGUGGGUUAAACGGGAGGUCUGGGAGGAGGUGGGGUCAGGCGGAUCUUCUGAAGAUCUUUCCAAAGACCAGCAAG
ensembl:lncRNA